rnacentral:lncRNA from 1 species
GCUCAAGUAGGAAGACAAAGGCAACCAUAUGUGGGGCCAGUCAAGAUAACAGUAAACCAGAAGCAAAUGUCAUUUCACAUUUGGGAGAAGAAAUGGAAAAAAUAUUGAAGUUUCUUUUUCUGUCUGCCCACUGAGACAUUUUCCCCUGAGAACAUGAAAUAUCCAAUUAAAAAAAGACCCAAACCCAAAUGAAGACCUGUUCCGAGAUGCUAUGGAGAAAGUAUGUCUUUUGUUUUUCAGCACUGGACAGCACAAUGACCGUAACCUUCUGGGAGAUGGAAUGCAGUAUUUUCAAUGUUUGAAAACUUGAAGAAAUGUUUCCAGGGACAUCACUUCUUCUUAUGUAUAUUUACUGAGAAGAGAAAUAAAUUCAGUGGCUUGUCAUCAUGUUGCAAUACAUAGGAAACAUUCAAAGGUGACUUAAGAUGGAAAAAAAAGGACACUUUAUGGUGGUAAUACAUAGAUAAGCAAAAGUAAUUUGAAAAAGGUAAGUGGAACUAGGUACAGGUUUUGCUGAUGCUACCAAAGUCCACAGUACUAUGUACUUUUGGAGGAAAAUGAAAAGGUACUAUGGCCUCAUGAGAGGACUGGGUCACAAAG